rnacentral:rRNA from 1 species
GACGAACGCUGGCGGCGUGCUUAACACAUGCAAGUCGAACGGUGACCCAGGGCUUGCCCUGGUGAUCAGUGGCGAACGGGUGAGUAACACGUGGGCAACCUGCCCCUGACUUCGGGAUAACUCCUCGAAAGAGGAGCUAAUACCGGAUACGACCACUUCGGACAUCCGAUGGUGGUGGAAAGUUUUUCGGUCAGGGAUGGGCCCGCGGCCUAUCAGCUAGUUGGUGGGGUAAUGGCCUACCAAGGCGACGACGGGUAGCCGGCCUGAGAGGGCGACCGGCCACACUGGGACUGAGACACGGCCCAGACUCCUACGGGAGGCAGCAGUGGGGAAUAUUGCGCAAUGGGCGAAAGCCUGACGCAGCGACGCCGCGUGAGGGAUGAAGGCCUCGGGUUGUAACCUCUUUCAGCAGGACGAAGCGAAAGUGACGGUACCGUGCAGAAGAAGCACCGGCUAACUACGUG